GACGAACGCUGGCGGCGUGCUUAACACAUGCAAGUCGAACGAUGAACCCGGAGCUUGCUCCGGUGGAUUAGUGGCGAACGGGUGAGUAACACGUGAGUAACCUGCCCUUGACUCUGGGAUAACUGCGGGAAACUGUAGCUAAUACCGGAUACGACCCUCGGCGGCAUCGCCAGGGGGUGGAAAGAAUUUCGGUCAAGGAUGGACUCGCGGCCUAUCAGCUAGUUGGUGAGGUAACGGCUCACCAAGGCGACGACGGGUAGCCGGCCUGAGAGGGUGACCGGCCACACUGGGACUGAGACACUGCCCAGACUCCUACGGGAGGCGGCAGUGGGGAAUAUUGCACAAUGGGCGCAAGCCUGAUGCAGCGACGCCGCGUGAGGGAUGACGGCCUUCGGGUUGUAAACCUCUUUUAGUAGGGAAGAAGCGAGAGUGACGGUACCUGCAGAAAAAGCACCGGCUAACUACGUGCCAGCCGCCGCCGUAA
rnacentral:rRNA from 1 species